rnacentral:rRNA from 1 species
UACGUAGGGGGCUAGCGUUGUCCGGAUUUAUUGGACGUAAAGAGCGUGUAGGCGGCCAUGUAGGUCCGGUGUGAAAACUCGAGGCUUAACCUCGAGAUGUCAUCGGAAACCAUUUGGCUAGAGUCCGGAAGAGGAGAGUGGAAUUCCUGGUGUAGCGGUGAAAUGCGCAGAUAUCAGGAAGAACACCAAUGGCGAAAGCAGCUCUCUGGGACGGUACUGACGCUGAGACGCGAAAGCGUGGGGAGCGAACAGG